CCUGUUUGAUAUUGGGUUAUACCCUGUAUAAGUUAAUUUAUUCUUGAUUUAUACUGUGUUUGGUAUUCUGUUAGAGUUAUGCGGCUGGCCCAGGUUUAAACAAGGGCCCGGUCUUAAUUUGUGAGAUUAACCCCGUCUAAUAAUACCUCCUUCAACAUCCGAUAACUUUUACCCUGUGGAUCUGGAUUAACAUUUUCAUACCCUUGUCACGAUUUUCGAUAAUUUUUGUUGCCCUACCUUCUCCCCGCCUCCAUCUUUUCCCUACAUUUGUGUCUGAAGUUUUGGGGGCGAAAAUUCAAAACGCAAUUGACGGAUACCCAUUGGAAAUCUGGACGCAGCGGCUGUAACAGCGACGUCGGAGAACCAGCGUCGUCUCCCGAUCAGGGAAACAUAAAGAGGAAAGUCUUCACAAACCUGAUAUCCCAGAGGCUCUUUAGAAACCUGCUACUUCUGCGUGUGAAUCCGCAAAAUGCCUGGAAAGGAAGACAUUCGUAUGCGUGAUAUGCAAUUUGUUUUGUUGCAAGAAAUACUGCGAGUUCAUGUGAUACAAGUGGCAUUAUUAUUUGUCUAUUAUCAUAAGACUAGGCUAGGCAAAAGAAGGCGUGAUUUUGGAGCCAUAAAAUACGAGAUAAUCCAUAAAUUGCCUGACCAAGAAAAACAUUUAAGCCGUUUAUUUGGUGUUAGUGAUGUUUACUGCAUAUCCAACCUUCGAAUGGAUCGUAGUACUUUUGCUAGGCUUUGUGUUAUUUUGCGAGAACGGGGGGGUUUGGUUAAUGGGCGAUUCGUUACUGUUGAGGAACAAGUAGUAAUGUUUCUUUCAGUUUUAGCCCAUCAUAAAAAAAAAUAGAGUAGUUCGGUUCGAUUUUUGGAGAUCCGGUCAAACAAUAUCACACUAUGUACACGCCGUUUUGGCCGCUAUUAUACGGCUACAUGAUUUGUUCUUAGCUAAGCCAGAGGCUGUUCCCGCGGAUAGCAAUGAUCCACGUUGGCGGUGGUUCAAGGGCUGUUUAGGGGCAUUAGACGGCACGUACGUGAGUGUCAUGGUCGGCCAACCCCACCCCACCUAUCACCCCACACUCUCAUUGAUGCUAUGUUAAAGCUAAACUCUCAAUUAAGUGCGGACGUCUCGUUGAAUGAGGUGGAGGGGCGGGUUGCCUUUCUACACGAUCGCUAUGUAUGCUUCAAAUGGUUGUGUAACGUCAAGGAGACGCAAUAUGAUCAAGCUAACAAUUUCGUUCACGCUGUGGAAGAAGUGUGGCAACGCUUGUUUAAGGAAAAUCCCUUGGCGCGAGCUUAUUACUAUGUUGGUGAGCCGGAGUUCUUUCUUUUGUGCAAUUUGUUUGGGAUUAAUGACGUGAAGAAUGAGCUUUCCCAUACACUCAUCGUCAUCGACGACUCGACAACCGUCAACAACCAAGCUCACACAAGCGACGACGAGGUCACUUCACCAAUACCCAAACCAGUCGCUAGAAAGCUAUUCGUGGAUGAUGCAUGUUCAAGUGUUACGCCGGCCGCUCCAAAUCCAUUUAAAAGCAAAGUGGUUCAUCCAUGGAAGGCACUUAAAAAUAAAUUUAAACGGCCAAGCAAUCCUCCCGCAAAAAGGAACGACGGUGGAAGUUCUAGCGCCUCCUCUUCUCCAUUCAAGUAGCUCAUGCUCGCGCAAUUACAUUUCACAUUUGCAGCUUAUUAAUUGGUUGUUAGUCCUCGUAUUGCAAGUUUCAAUUGCCUUGUUUUAAUUUCUUUGUUUAGUGGCUAUGGUUGUUUUCUUCUACCCAUUACCAAUUACCUUCAACAGUUAUGUUCGUGCUUUUAUGCCAU